AAGUUCCACAGCAUGCACAUAUUCAUGUGGUAAAAAAGUUCAGUCUGUGUAAGUGUGGAGGUGAAUGACUUCUUAGGCAGUAUUUCCUGAACACAGCAAUCCCUGAUUUGAAUAAUGAGACUCUUUGGCCUUUCUUGGCUUUUUCUCCUGUGGCUGAAUCCAAAUGAAUCUUUACAGCAGAAUGAAAUAAAAUGUCAACUGACACUUCCACCACUCAGAGGAACCACAUAUGAACCUGCUUAUAGAAGUGUGUUUUCUCCCGGUGAGAAGAUAAGAGUUACAUGUGGGGAGGCAUACUGGAUUCUGAACACUCAGACCACCUUCGCUGGGACUACUUGCAAAAAUGACGGAGACUGGACUAUCAGACCAGUGUGUGAAGAGGUUACAUGUAGCCAUCCACAAGCUCUGUAUUUGGAUUACUGGGGUGAUUCUGGGCAACAACAAAGACUGGGUGACUCUGUCAGUUACACAUGUGGAUCAGACUACAGGAGUACAGAUGGCGCUCCCUGGGCCACAUGCACCAGAGAUGGAUGGAAACCAAAUCCACUUUGUCAAGGUAUUAUGAGGUGUAGCUUGUUUUUCUUCAAAUUCUGCUUUUAUUUCUUUCAUUUCAUGUAUUUGCAAAAAUAUGAUUUAAAAAAUCUUGUGAAUAACUGCACAUCUUUUCAAAACUUGUCUGUCAAUAAAUGAAUGAUGCAUGUUAUAUUAAGUAUACUGAGUGCUCACAUAGAGAAGAAAUGCACCAUAUUAGAGCCAGUCUACUCACCAUAUUAUUGUGAAAAUUUAGUUGGGAUAAAAGAAAGAUAAUAGUGUCCAGUAUAAAUGGAAGAGAGGUUCUGAAGGAAGUUUCACUCCAAUCUUUAGGGAAGAUGGCCUGCAUGGCUCUAACGAAUGUAGAGGUAAGAAUGUUCAGGAUAAAUGUGAUUGUUCACAUUCAUUUGUGAUAUACUGCUUUUCUUGAUAAAGCUAAUUGUUGCAAGGUAGGGACUAUUUAUUAAAUCUCAAACAUAAAUUUGAUACCUGUCCAACAUAGUUUAUCAUUAGUUACAAUGAGUGCUAACCACUUUCUGAGCAUAACAGAAGGAUAUAUAUCAAAAGGAGAGAUCAUAAGUAAUAUCAGUUGUUCAGUGGGCUGUUUGAAUCAGAAUUGGCAGUUUGUUUGACAAAGCAGUCUUAAAGGAAGAUUGUAUAGGAUAUCUAAGACAAAUGUUUUAUGGUGAAAAAAUCUGGGUUUAUGAAAUUUUUAAAUCAUUGCAUUCUGUUUAUAUUUACUUUUACACAGCACUAGAGCUUGGAUCAUGAAUACAAGGGAUAAAUACGUUUAUGACCAUUGAGUUACUACUAACUCCUUAUUAUAGGGAAUACUGAAUCUGACUGUAAAGUAACUUAUCAGUGCUUAACUAGAAGGAGAAGCCACGAUUAAAUGCACAGCUGAGAAAUGGAAGAAGCUCAAUAUUCAGUGUAUACGUAUGUACAUGAAAAUAAACUAUUGCAUUGAAUAAGCUUUAAAACUGGAGUCUUAAAAGUUAAAAACACUGCUGGCUGUCAUUCUGCCUGCUGGCAUAGUUCAUCUUUAGUCAUCUUUCUUUCCCCACCCUUGGUUAGGGGUAGAGAAAGAAUAUAGUCCUGCUUUGAGGGACAAAACAAUGGAAAUAAUAUAAUGCAACAUUGUACCAAAGACACAAUCUUUAACUAACCUUAAAUAUACUGUUAUACGGUAAAAACAAUAACAGUAAUAAUAAUUAUAUUUAUAACAAGGUGCAAUAAUAAUUAAUGUGCAAUAAUAACAGUGUGCAAUA